rnacentral:rRNA from 1 species
UUUCAUGACUGGGGUGAAGUCGUAUCAAGUUUACGGUAGGGGAACCUGCGGUUGGAUCACCUCCUUACCUUAAAGAA